GCACACGGUGAGACGAACAGAUGGGUCGUAGAAUAUGUGCAAUUUAAAUUCAGGCAGGGGUGCUAAAUAAACGCCUGUUCCGUCCUACGUGCCACCUUCUGAAAGAAUUUGUGAGACGCAGCCCCACUGUGGCUGGAGACCGCAUGCGUCCUGUCCUCCCGGCCCAGAGGGAAAUCCGUCCAGAGUCUCCCCGCCCAUGGCCGGCUGUGCCUCCCAGAACUUCCAGUCUGUCUCCUUUGCUGCACGUCCAUCCUUGCCGGCCAGUGUCCCCUCGGGGUCACGUGGGAUACAAGGAGGAAGCGUGGCCACACGCCCGCUGUCUGUGGACUGAAUGCGCAGUGGCCACCACCGCCACGAAACAGCAGCCGUCCGCGGACCCGAGAGCCAGCGGCGAGGUCUGUCCCUCGUGCAGACCGGUGAUCGAGUCUGCCCCGCGUGGUGAGGGUUGGUGUUGUUCAACUAGACCUUUGACCUUCACACGCACCAGACUGGACAGCGAAGCCGCCUCUGUUCCAUGCUCUUCCUUCCCAACGAGGAGCCGGGCUGGCGUCAGGGGGAAUGAGACACAGAAGGUGUCACCGUGCAACGGGGACCGCUGUCCCGGGGGAGCCCCUGGGAGACAGGCGAGCUCCGGCCCCCACGGCAUAAACCCCCGGAGGAAACGAGCGCAGAUGUGCCGCGCGAGGCCGUGUGAGGCCACGGGCGCCCCGGAGGGCAGCUGCAGGCCGGGGUCACCAAAGAGACAAAACACAAAACCGUUAGUACCGUUAGCCACUGCAGCCCCACGGACGCCGUCUGCCGCGCCCUUUCAGAAACAGAGCAACUCAGCGGCGGAAACUGUAGAAGCCCCGAGCGAUCAGACAGCCUGCCGGAGAACACAGCGGGGCCGGAGCCACGAAACCCAGGGCGUUCGCUGAGCACCUCUGUGCCCUGAGUGAGGCCGGAGCCACUGUCCCUAAUCUAGCUUCUUGUGAGGUAAGCUAGUCGGGUUAUGGAGCAAUCUAGUGGGUUAUAAAAUAAUCUCAUAGGACACAAGGGUCACCGGCACUGAGCAGGACGCGAUGGCCCCCAAACUGUGCCGUGGGCGAUGCAGGGAGGGUGUGCUGGGCAGCAGGGACCCCAGGAGCGCCCACCCGGCCGGGCACAGACCCGGGCACCCAGCUUAGCUGGGGCCCCGGGGGCGUGGAGGAGGGGACUCUCGGGGGUCCUGGGGCAGAGGCCCUGACUGGCUGGUGGGCUCUCACUCCCUGGGUUGCUUUGCUGUGUCCUCAGGUGUUUCCCUGCCGGGCCCUGGGCUUCCCUGACCGCACCCCUGCCUCCCCUUGCCUGUGGGGCCUCCUCUUCUGGGAAAACUGCUCCUUCCAGAAUGAGGUCCUCAGAGAGCCAGGCUGGCCUCACACUCAGGUGUGCACAGAUCUGUCUGCCACUGUCCUCAGUGCCCCCAGGUCACCAGAGGGCAGGGAGGGGGCCCACCUGAAGGCCAAGAGUUGUUUCUCAAAAGGCCCAGACUUGGGGCGCCUGGGUGGCUCAGUCGGUUGAGUGUCUGACUUCGGCUCAGGUCAUGAUCUCAUGGUCCGUGAGUUCGAGCCCCGCCUCGGGCUCUGUGCUGACAGCUCGGAGCCUGGAGCCUGCUUCCGAUUCUGUGUCUCCCUCUCUCUCUGCUCCUCCCCUGCUUACACGCUAUCUCUCAAAAAUAAAUAAAGAUUAAAAAAAGUUAAAAAAAAAAGA
ensembl:lncRNA